rnacentral:rRNA from 1 species
GACGAACGCUGGCGGCGUGCCUAAUACAUGCAAGUAGAACGCUGAAGGAGGAGCUUGCUUCUCUGGAUGAGUUGCGAACGGGUGAGUAACGCGUAGGUAACCUGCCUGGUAGCGGGGGAUAACUAUUGGAAACGAUAGCUAAUACCGCAUAAGAGUAGAUGUUGCAUGACAUUUGCUUAAAAGGUGCACUUGCAUCACUACCAGAUGGACCUGCGUUGUAUUAGCUAGUUGGUGGGGUAAGGGCUCACCAAGGCGACGAUACAUAGCCGACCUGAGAGGGUGAUCGGCCACACUGGGACUGAGACACGGCCCAGACUCCUACGGGAGGCAGCAGUAGGGAAUCUUCGGCAAUGGACGGAAGUCUGACCGAGCAACGCCGCGUGAGUGAAGAAGGUUUUCGGAUCGUAAAGCUCUGUUGUAAGAGAAGAACGAGUGUGAGAGCGGAAAGUUCACACUGUGAC